CUCUCCCCUUGGAGAGUAGGAACGCUUCCAGCCAUUGUAUCUUACAAGAAGCACGCCAAGCAGCAAGCGCUGCCCAUACGACCAGUGAAGAUAGCUAGCUAGCCUGGAUCCAUGGACUCCCCGCAAAAAAAAGCUUGGAUCCACCAUGAACGGCAAGACGCCUCACCUGCUGCAUGUGAGCGUGACAGUGAGUGUGGCCGCGGCCAAGAAGAAGACACCGGUUGCUGUCCGGCAGGGCAGCGCUUGGGUGCUCUUCAUGCAUACAUGCUGCCGAAGAGGAAUCGUGGCGGGUCGGCGUAGCUGAGGAGGCGGACAGCGACGGCCUACAUGCAUACAUGGCAAUCUUCACUUUAUUUUCUAUGCCAUAAUUUCACUAGAUUAAUCUAGAUGUGCUUUAGCAAAAUUGUAUAAAAGAUGUAUUUACAACUUGAUGUGCAUAUGUAUUCUGAUCUAAACCCCCGCGCAAGCUACAUUAAUUUAAUGGUUAAACUGACAUUGAUA